AAUGGAUGGCUCCUCAAGAGCACAUGAAAUAUCAGAAGUCCUCACUGCUGCCAAGGAGCUAGAUGAUCUGUUUGAGGUCUGAGUCACAACAUACCAAAUUCGUGUUUGUGCAUGGGUCUUCUGACUUUCUGUGAUAAUCUCAGCAAGAAGCAGGGACUGGGUCAGGCUACCUCUUCCCUGAAUCACAGCACAAGGCUCCACUAACAGGAAACAUGGCAUCGUGCCACAAAGCUGAAACAGGAAGUAUUUGUCAUCAAAGGCUAGCUGUGUCAAAAACCUUGUGACACUAAUCUGUCCUGCAGAGAAUGUAAGUAGCCUGCAGUGAAUACGUACAAAGUGAAGAGCAACAUUGUGUAAAGCAAGUCAUUCCUGUGCUGUGGGGAUAAAAUGAGACAGAACCAGCCUGAAUCUUUUCCUACAUGAGAAGAGAUCGAUAUCCUAGAAAAACACAACAUGACAUCUUAAAUGAACAUUCACACCACACCAAACCCAGCAGCUACCGUCAUACUGCAAUCAUCUGUCUAUCAUCAGUGUGUGUUUGCUGUGAGCUUGUAUGACUACAGCCAAGGCAGCAGAAAAGGCAUCCCCUGAAACCAUAUGAGUGUCCUCUCCAUGAAACCCUCUGCUAGAGCCUAACUAUGUACUUCCUAGAAACAGGCUCAGAUCACCUGUGGCCUGAGAUGUGACAUCCCACUCCCAUCUAAGCACGACACAAGAGAUUACAAACCUGAUCAGAGAUUAAAAGCUGAACAGCUUCCCAGCAUGGCCAGAGGGUAGACCAUAGAGGUGGCUAAGCCUCAGUACUUUUCCUUUGUUGGACUAAGCAGAAGCCAUUCAGGGAAUUGUCUCACAGACUGCCCUUAUGGUGGAUGACAACAGCAGGCACCUUACCAGUCAAACACAACUGCUCACAGUGCAACUAAGAAGUUCCACGAGAGAGAGGAGCAUAGUCUACAGAGGGGAAGAGUCAUCUGCUUUAGCAAAUCUGUAUUGCCAACAGCUGGUCAUUUUUUCCCAUCACCUUUGCACUGCCUGUAGCUGGUGUUGAUGAGUUUCUCAGUAACAAGCAACUCCUCAUCUUUCCAUGCUGAGGAGCAGUGGGGACAUGAAAGGAGAAGGAGCUGUAUCUAUUUCAUGCUCAGCACAAGUUAGCAACACUGGUCAGCAUGUGAAAGGGAAUUUUCUACUGUGAAAUCCAACACCAGGUUGUUUUGAAGGAACAUGCUGUUUUUACUGAUAUUCUCCCCUCUCACCCUCCCAAAAUAUAUAUUAUUUUUCUGAUCAAUAAAUAUGGAAGGGUUUUGAUGAGCCCAAAAUGCCUCGUUACACUUUUCUUAUUUGGAAUAUCAUAUCUUUAUGAAUAUAUUAUUGUAUUUGUAUGUUAACAACAUGUGAGCAUUUCCUCUUGUUUUGCCUUUAUUGCAAUCAAGUGGCUUUACCUAAUCAAAAUGAGACAAAUAGAUACUAUCAAAGUGAAAUGUUUUAUGGUUUAUAUAUUAGUAAUAUAUAGAAAGCUGCUUUUUCAAAUUAUCUGCUGAUUGGACAAACCUCAAAAGAGACAACUCCAGCUUGUAGCCAAGAUGAUUAUUUCUGUGUUUGUCACUUUGUAAAUUGUCUGGAUGAUUAUUCUCUGAAAUUAACUACAUAAUUCAUUGCACUGUUCUCUAAGUUAAUCAUAUUUUUAAGUCAUUGUUUUUCUUAUAUACAUAGUGCUUCAACUCUAAGAAAAUGAGACACUUUCCUCAAGGACACCAUAAUACCUACAUUACUAAGAUCAUGAACAAGGCACUGAAAUCUAACUAAAACUUGGCAGCUUAAUAAAUGACAAUUUUCUGUAUGCUUCUCUUUAACUGAAGAACAAAUAUUGAUGAAGCAACUCUGCUUGCCACCAACACCAUGCAGUUUUUUUGAGA